ACGAUUUUUGGGUAGUUGCCUGAGUCUGCCUCGCUUUCGGGCAAAACCACAGGCUAUUCUUGAUGAUGAUAAUGAUGUUGACGGCUAUGAUAAACAGUUUCAGCAGGAAACCACGGAAAGGAAGGCAGUAGAUCAUCGUCAGCAAAGACAGUCCUGAUUGGUCUUGUGGUAGCUCUUGUUGUUGUGAUGAUCCUGCUUGCUGUGCUUACAGUCCUAACAUGGAAAAGGGUGCAUCGAGAGAUCUCUUGUUGGUGAGAAUCGUCUAAUCAUUCCUAACAGUGGCUAUACAGCCUCUUCGUUCUUAUAUGACAGUAGGCAGUUUAAAGAUCGAGUGACCGGAAAACUAUACUGGAUCGACACCCGAUACGUUCCACACAAUGCAAGACUGAACAGCAAAUUUGGAUGGUCACCACGUGAUAAUAAUAACCCUGAUUACUUACAGCUGGACCUUGGUGCUGUACGAGCCAUCACUGCUGUAGCAACAAAAGGAAGUGGUUUCUUAUCAUAUGAAUGGAUAAAAACAUUUAAGCUUCGGUUUCAACACGACGCAAAUUCAACGCAAUGGACUGAAUACAA